rnacentral:tRNA from 1 species
GCCCGGGUGGUGAAAUUGGUAGACACAAGGGACUUAAAAUCCCUCGGACAUUGCGUCCGUGCCGGUUCGAUUCCGGCCCCGGGCACCA